UACGUAGGGGGCAAGCGUUGUCCGGAAUCAUUGGGCGUAAAGAGCGCGUAGGCGGCCCGAUAAGUCCGCUGUGAAAGUCAAGGGCUUAACCCUUGAAUGCCGGUGGAAACUGUCGGGCUAGAGUCCGGAAGAGGCGAGUGGAAUUCCUGGUGUAGCGGUGAAAUGCGCAGAUAUCAGGAGGAACACCGGUGGCGAAGGCGGCAUCCUGGACCAAUAUUGACGCUGAGGAGCGAAAGCCAGGGGAGGCAAACGG
rnacentral:rRNA from 1 species